rnacentral:rRNA from 1 species
AAUCAACGCUGGCGGCGUGCCUCAGACAUGCAAGUCGAACGCGAAAUUUCCCUUCGGGGAGAAAGUAGAGUGGCGCACGGGUGAGUAACACGUAGGUAAUUUGCCUUUGGGUGGGGAAUAACUCAGGGAAACUUGAGCUAAUACCGCAUAAUGCAGCGGCUCGACAUCGAGACAGUUGUUAAAGCGGGGAUUGGAGCAAUCCGACCUCGCGCCUAAAGAGAAGCCUGCGGCAGAUUAGCUAGUUGGUAAGGUAAUGGCUUACCAAGGCGACGAUCUGUAACCGGCCUGAGAGGGCGGUCGGUCACACUGACACUGAC